ACUUCGCCGUCUUGGCCCAAGAAACGGAGGCUCUCCUUGACGGCUCAGACCAGAUCUUGGCCGUGGCCGACGUUCUAUUGUCCGCUGAGAAACGCAUUAACAACCACAACGAUUGGUACUCGAUCUUGCAAAUCGACCGCCGCUCUGACGACCAGGAUCUCUUAAAGAAGCAGUACCGCCGCCUCGCAUUGCUUCUCCAUCCAGACAAGAACAAGUUCCCUUUCGCGGAUCAAGCGUUUAAGCUCGUCGCGGACGC
rnacentral:misc_RNA from 1 species